ACAUGGGUGCACUAUUUUGAGUCUGAAGGUCAAAAGAAGGUGCCAGAUCCGCUGGAACUGGAGUUAUGGAUGGUUGUACAGCUAUGUGGGUGCUGGGAACCAAGCCCAGGCUCUCUGUAAGAACAGCACAUGCUCUUAACCACUGAGCCAUCUCUCCUAUUUUUGAGACACAGUCUCUCACUGAACCUAGAUCUUAGUAAUUGGCUGGACUGGCUAGCCAGUUGGCCCCAAAGAUCCUCCUCUUCAGCCUCUGUCUCCCCAGUGCAGGACUGCAGUGUGCUGCCACGCCACACCUAUCUUUUCACCUGGAUGCUGGGGGAUCUGAAUUCAACUCCUUAUCCCUACAUGGAGCAGAGCCUCUGAGCAGAGUGGACACAGACUCUUGAAGCUGUUCUUCAGCCUGCUGCCUCCAGGUGCUGGAGAGGAACCCAGGAACUCAGG